rnacentral:lncRNA from 1 species
UAGCAUUCACCUAUGGGCCCAAAACAUAACAGGCAGUUUGUUGUCUUUUUAUUUUAAUGGAGAUUUGAAGUUGCAAAGUUCUGUCUCCUCUUCAAUGUGGCCUGUGGCCCCCACGGUUUACAUUUGAUAGUGUUGAUGUGCACUGGCCUCAUUUCCCACUUUCCCUCUUUUCCUUCAAGUAGUUCGCUGUGUCUGUUUUUAAUUUCUAUUUGCCUUUCGUUCAUUGAAUUGAACAAUAUAGAAGCUUAUUGAAUUUUUUGUGUCAUCCUUGUACAUGGGUCAUGCUAAUCUCUGUACUGUUUUGUCAGUACGGGUUGUAAACAUGAGCACAUGUCAGAAGAUGUGAGAUAUUUCUUGAGCCUGUAGAAUAAGUCACUUUAAAAUGUAGCACUCUAAUGAACUGUGAAGGCUCUUAGCUGUCAGAAAACGUGUAGAAAUUGUUGGUGUACUUUUCCAGUUUUAGUGGGAUAGAGAGGGUGGGUCAGGUUAUCAGGUUGAGAGAAGUUAGCACAGCAUGAAGUCACACAGGACUUUGUACAGUAUUAAGCUUGAGGUUUGUUGCUGCACCCAUCAUGUUUAUACCAUGUGUGGGUUAGAGUAAACAGUACUUGGGAGUAGCCAUGAGAGAUGUUGGCUGAGUGCAGGAUCUUAAACUACAUAGAAAUUUCGUCAGUAAUCACUGAGUCCUUUGUGCUUCCUGUCUUGUGGAAAGGACCAGUUAUAUCUUUGAAUUUAAUUUUAUGUGUAUUUAUGUGGCUGGAGCCGAAAGAUUGUUGUACUUGCUGGUUAUUCUUAUAAUAAAAAUCCUAAUAUCUUCCUGUCU